UACGGAGGGUGCAAGCGUUGCUCGGAAUCAUUGGGCGUAAAGCGUACGCAGGCUGUUCGUUAAGUCGGGUGUGAAAGCCCGGGGCUCAACCCCGGAACGGCGCCCGAAACUGGCGGGCUUGAAUGCGGGAGAGGGAAGCGGAAUUCCUGGUGUAGAGGUGAAAUUCGUAGAUAUCAGGAGGAACACCGGUGGCGAAAGCGGCUUCCUGGCCCGACAUUGACGCUCAUGUACGAAAGCGUGGGGAGCAAACAGG
rnacentral:rRNA from 1 species